GACACUCUCCCGUCUCCACCAAACACCUAGAAACCACCUUCAGGGAAGCGGCCCAAUUAAGCUCGGGCACAAGAAGCCCCCGCUGAGCUUUAGGGGGUUAACCUCAUCAUUCUCUCCUCUAUGAACAACCUUAAUUUAAUGAUUCCUUAGGUGGGGCGGAUGGGGAACCUAAAAAGCUUCCUUAAAAUUGUAUUUAACCUAAGUUGUGUUUUAUUUAUUUUGAUAUUUUAGUUUGAUUCCGUUUGUUAUCGAUUUAUAGAAAAAGUUACCGCAGGGAUAACAGCGUAAUCUUUCUGGAGAGAUCUAAUCGAAAGAAGGGUUUGCGACCUCGAUGUUGGACUAAGAUAUCCUAAGGGUGUAGAAGCUCUGAAGGGUGGCUCCUUCCGACCCAAUAUCCCCC
rnacentral:rRNA from 1 species